rnacentral:rRNA from 1 species
AACGAACGCUGGCGGCAGGCUUAACACAUGCAAGUCGAGCGCCCCGCAAGGGGAGCGGCAGACGGGUGAGUAACGCGUGGGGAUCUGCCUAGUGGUACGGAACAACACGGGGAAACUCGUGCUAAUACCGUAUAAGUCCUUCGGGAGAAAGAUUUAUCGCCAUUAGAUGAACCCGCGUCUGAUUAGCUAGUUGGUGAGGUAACGGCUCACCAAGGCGACGAUCAGUAGCUGGUCUGAGAGGAUGAUCAGCCACACUGGGACUGAGACACGGCCCAGACUCCUACGGGAGGCAGCAGUGGGGAAUAUUGGACAAUGGGCGCAAGCCUGAUCCAGCCAUGCCGCGUGAGUGAUGAAGGCCUUAGGGUUGUAAAGCUCUUUCGUCAGGGAAGAUAAUGACGGUACCUGAAGAAGAAGCCCCGGCUAACUUCGUGCCAGCCGCCGCGGUAACAC